GUGCUAUAAUGCAAGUCGAGCGGACCGACGGGAGCUUGCUCCCUUAGGUCAGCGGCGGACGGGUGAGUAACACGUGGGUAACCUGCCUGUAAGACUGGGAUAACUCCGGGAAACCGGGGCUAAUACCGGAUGCUUGAUUGAACCGCAUGGUUCAAUCAUAAAAGGUGGCUUUCAGCUACCACUUGCAGAUGGACCCGCGGCGCAUUAGCUAGUUGGUGAGGUAACGGCUCACCAAGGCGACGAUGCGUAGCCGACCUGAGAGGGUGAUCGGCCACACUGGGACUGAGACACGGCCCAGACUCCUACGGGAGGCAGCAGUAGGGAAUCUUCCGCAAUGGACGAAAGUCUGACGGAGCAACGCCGCGUGAGUGAUGAAGGUUUUCGGAUCGUAAAACUCUGUUGUUAGGGAAGAACAAGUACCGUUCGAAUAGGGCGGUACCUUGACGGUACCUAACCAGAAAGCCACGGCUAACUACGUGCCAGCAGCCGCGGUAAUACGUAGGUGGCAAGCGUUGUCCGGAAUUAUUGGGCGUAAAGCGCGCGCAGGCGGUUUCUUAAGUCUGAUGUGAAAGCCCCCGGCUCAACCGGGGAGGGUCAUUGGAAACUGGGGAACUUGAGUGCAGAAGAGGAGAGUGGAAUUCCACGUGUAGCGGUGAAAUGCGUAGAGAUGUGGAGGAACACCAGUGGCGAAGGCGACUCUCUGGUCUGUAACUGACGCUGAGGCGCGAAAGCGUGGGGAGCGAACAGGAUUAGAUACCCUGGUAGUCCACGCCGUAAACGAUGAGUGCUAAGUGUUAGAGGGUUUCCGCCCUUUAGUGCUGCAGCAAACGCAUUAAGCACUCCGCCUGGGGAGUACGGUCGCAAGACUGAAACUCAAAGGAAUUGACGGGGGCCCGCACAAGCGGUGGAGCAUGUGGUUUAAUUCGAAGCAACGCGAAGAACCUUACCAGGUCUUGAC
rnacentral:rRNA from 1 species